AGCCCAGGGCGCGUGACGACCCCAGCGCGUCCCGCCCCCGCGCACCGCGGGAGGACCCGGAGCCCCCGGGGUGCCGCCGAGCCCCAGCGCCCCGCGGGUCCCACGGGUCCGCCACUCCACGUGGUGAGGAUCAACAGUUUGCCGAGCUCAUCAGUGACACCUUGAACUUUUCCUACCGAAAGCGGGUACUGCAGCGGGAGGCUCGGCGGCGGCCGCGCGCAGGGUCGCGCUCGGGGCGUUUCGGGGACCUCUCGCCCGCGCCUCCCCCCACAUCCCCUCGCGGAGAUCCCGUCCAGCCCGGCCCCGGAGCAGACUUUCAAGUCCAUUCACUGCCCCCCCCCAAAAAAAAGCCCCCGUCCGGCCACUCAUCGGAGCUUUCAGGGGCGCCUCCCCCCCACCCAAUCCCGGCCCGCAGCUCCCUCCUAAAAAAAAAAAAAAAAAAAAAAAAAAAAAUGACAUUUUGCGGGCGCCCGCCGAGGGGCCUGAGUCUCACUUUGUAACUUUCUGCGGAACCCGAGCCCGGUGGCAGCUCCGGCGGUGGUAUCGUAUGCAAAUACGCAUGCUGACGUUACAGAUCAUGUGGGUUUUGGCGUAGAUUACCCACUGAUCGAGGCAUUUCCCCCCCCUUUUUUCUUUUUUUUUUUUCUUUUCUUUUUUUUUUCUUUUUCUCUUUCUUUUUCCUUUUCUUCUUUCUUUCUUUCUUUUUUUUUUUUCUUUCCUGCUUUGAAAAAAUUUCCUGCCAGCCGUCCUCCGCACGGGGGGUCUUCAGGGUGUCUGUCUGUCUGUCUGCCAGGCUGGCUUUCCCCCACCACCGCCACCUCUUUCCCACGGAGCCCGAGCCGGGCGCCGGGUGGGGAGUGGGGAGUGGGUGGGGGGAGCCAGCGGAGUUCCAUUUUGGAACGCUCGCGCCCGGUCUCCGCGUUCCCAGCCCGGGUCCCCGCGUUCCCAGCCCCGGCACAGGCCUCCAUGCACUGGCUGCUCUGGGACUCCCACUGCUGGAUUCCCAGGAUGUAAGCAACAUGCGACAGACACUGGUGCCUGCCCAUACACACGUCCAGACCGAAACACAUACAUACAAAUGAAAUAAAAUCACAGAAGCACAUCCA
rnacentral:lncRNA from 1 species